rnacentral:rRNA from 1 species
CCUACGGGCGGCUGCAGUGGGGAAUAUUGGACAAUGGGGGGAACCCUGAUCCAGCCAUGCCGCGUGUGUGAAGAAGGCCCUCGGGUUGUAAAGCACUUUCAGUGAGGAAGAACGCCUGGUGGUUAAUACCCAUCAGGAAAGACAUCACUCACAGAAGAAGCACCGGCUAACUCCGUGCCAGCAGCCGCGGUAAUACGGAGGGUGCGAGCGUUAAUCGGAAUUACUGGGCGUAAAGCGCGCGUAGGUGGCUUGAUAAGCCGGUUGUGAAAGCCCCGGGCUCAACCUGGGAACGGCAUCCGGAACUGUCAAGCUAGAGUGCAGGAGAGGAAGGUAGAAUUCCAGGUGUAGCGGUGAAAUGCGUAGAGAUCGGGAGGAAUACCAGUGGCGAAGGCGGCCUUCUGGACUGACACUGACACUGAGGUGCGAAAGCGUGGGUAGCAAACAGGAUUAGAUACCCCUGUAGUC